UAGUAUCAGCGUGCCAGCCGCCGCGGUAAUACGAACGGUCCAAACGUUAUUCGGAAUCACUGGGCUUAAAGCGUCCGUAGGCGGCUCGGAAAGUAGGGUGUGAAAUCCCACGGCUCAACCGUGGAAUUGCGCUCUAAACUAUCGAGCUAGAGGGAGAUAGAGGUGAGCGGAACUGAUGGUGGAGCGGUGAAAUGCGUUGAUAUCAUCAGGAACACCGGAGGCGAAGGCGGCUCACUGGGUCUUUUCUGACGCUGAGGGACGAAAGCUAGGGGAGCGAACGGGAUUAGAUACCCCGGUAGUCCUAGCCGUAAACGCUGAGUACUGGACCGGAGCUCUGCACAGGGUUUCGGUCGUAGCGAAAGUGUUAAGUACUCCGCCUGGGGAGUAUGGUCGCAAGGCUGAAACUUAAAGGAAUUGGGCGGG
rnacentral:rRNA from 1 species